ensembl:snRNA U7 U7 small nuclear RNA
UAGUGUUAUAGCUCUAAGAAUUUGUCUACCAGGUUUUCUGGUUGUGGCUGGAAACACCCCC